rnacentral:rRNA from 1 species
UAACAAGGAUUCCCCUAGUAACGGCGAGUGAAGAGGGAAAAGCUCAAAGUUGGAACCUGUCUGGCCUAACCAGUCCGGAUUGUAAACUAAAGAGCCGUUUUCCAGGCAAGCCAGCCAAAAAAGUCCCUUGGAACAGGGCAUCAUAGAGGGUGAGAAUCCCGUCUUUGGUCUGAGCGAUAUUGUCUUUAUGUGAUACGGUUUCAAAGAGUCAGGUUGUUUGGGAAUGCAGCCUAAAGUGGGUGGUAAAUCUCAUCUAAAGCUAAAUAUUGGCGAGAGACCGAUAGCGAACAAGUACCGUGAGGGGAAAGAUGUAAAGAACCUUUGAAAAGAGAUUAAACAGUACGUGAAAUUGCUGAAAGGGAACCGUUUGAGGUUAGACUAGCUGGCCAGUAAUCAGUCUUGGAUUCGUCCAUGAUGCACUUGCUGGUCUUUGGCUAGCCAACGACAGUUUUUUCUGUGGGAAAAAAUAUGUAGGAAUGUGGCUCCGCUUUUGGGGGAGUGUUAUAGCCUGCUGUAGAAUACCACGGAGGAGACUGAGGCUUGCAGUGAAUGCUAUUAUGGCUUUGGAUCUGGUUGACUGUAUGGAGUUGUGGGCUGCUACUCGGCUUGCCGCGGCUUUCUGCCUCUCUGUGCAGUAUCUUCUAGUUUACCCUUAAAUCACUUAGGUCGCAGGGUUAAUGA